CUUUUCACUUUCAACACCAAAUGGUACAAUUGAUUAUUCACUUGCUAGUUGGGAGGUCUUUCCAGAUCUUCCGAACUCCUGCAGAUUACUCGAUAAAGAAUGUGGCAUCGAUGGAGGCUGCAAAUAGGCACGGUGUUAGAACGACUCAAAUGCA